UUCCAUUUUCCUGGGGAGACUCCAGCUAAUGAUAAGGAGUACAUGUCUUGUUUUAGCACCUCAGAAAAGGAUAAAACAUAGAAUAUCAGAGUCAGGAGAGCCCAUGGCUGCUCUGUUCUGCUGAGACUCACCAAGUGCAGACCACUUGCCUAUAUCAGAGCUGGCAACAAGAACUUGCACCCCUGGCCCUGACUCCCGCUGUACUUGUCCUGCCUGAGACUCCGGCCCUCAUUGUCAGCCUCCGUCCUCUGUGGCUUGGACUGCCAUAACAAAAUACCACAGACUGCAUAGCUUAAGACACAAAAAUGUAUUUCUCAUAGUUCCAGAGGUUAGAGUUUCAAGAUCAAGGUGCCAGCCGGGUUGGUUUCUAGAGAGGCUUCUCUUCCCUCUUGCUUACAGCCUCUUCUUGCUGUGGCCUGUUCUCUGCGUGCUGGUACAGAGAGAAAGAACUCUGGUAUCUCAUCCUUUUCUUAGAAGGACGCCAGUCCUAUCAGAUUAGGGCUCACCCUAUGACCUUAUUUAACUAUAAUUACCUUAAUUACCUCCUUAAAGGCUCUACCUCCAAAUACAGUCAUAGUGGGGGUUAGGCCUUAAAGCAAUUUUGUUUGGGGACACAGUUCAGUUCACAACAGCCCCUCACUCCUAAGGACCACCCUAAAUCCCCACGCCACCGUGCGGAGCUGGGUGCUGGCACAUAGGGGCGUUCCUUUGUCUCAGGGCCCAGUCAGUGCCUGAGAUCUGCGUGUUGCCUGUCCACGAUCAUCCCCUCCUCUGGUCCUCCCAAAGCUAAUCACAAAUGCCUAGGUGUGCCAAAACAGCCUUCCAUGAGACAUUGACAAAUAUUCUGGCUGAACAUGCUUAGUGGCAGCCUGCGUCCUUGUCUUCUACCUUCUUCAAGGCUCUGACCCUAGAAAACAGGAACACAGUGGCUUCAGGGUUCUGAGUGUUGACCCUGCCUGGACCAAACACUUCCCAUGGUCACAUGGAACUAUAUGAAUUAGAUUUCUGUGUUCUGAUCUUAUUCGUCACCUGGUGGAGAUCAUUUAGUCAUUCAACAGAUUUUGCUGAUUUUGACACAUGCACUGCCUCAUGAAUAGCAUGGCUCUUGUUUCUGCGGUGGGCAGAGAGCAAAAGCAAGGGAGGACACAGCCCCUGAUCUCCCUGAGCAGUGUGAAGCCUCCUAACAGACAGUGCAGGAAUCAUUGUCGCAUUUCCUUUUAGAUCAAGCCAGGACUGCUGGGUGGAAGGCAGAGAAGGGAGUGCUCAGAACGAAUGCCCGUGUUCUGUUUCCUGCUCACCAUCCAUUCUGUGUCAUUCUGGGUCCAAGAAGAUGAAUGUUCUGCAUUUUCACCAAGGGAAUGGAGUAUUUCUUCCAGGAAGUUAAUAAGAUUGUAUAUUUUAGCCUCAGGGCACCAGAGAAGGGAAAGAAAAAUUCCCUGAAACAACAUGUCUCUUGUUUAAUAAAGUUUUAUUAUUAUUAUAUAUGAGUGUGUGGGAACGAGAAAUCUAUAUCCGUUCUUUGCCGUCACAGCUUUAUUGGUUCUGAGCUUAAAAAAUCAGUUUGGUGACUAACAGAAUAAAGAACUGACUGACCGGUG
rnacentral:lncRNA from 1 species